rnacentral:misc_RNA from 1 species
CUCCUGUGAUUCUGUUCC